rnacentral:misc_RNA from 1 species
GAUGAAGAACGCAGCGAAAUGCGAUACUUGGUGUGAAUUGCAGAAUCCCGUGAACCAUCGAGUCUUUGAACGCAAGUUGCGCCUCAAGCCAUUAGGUUGAGGGCACGUCUGCCUGGGCGUCACAUAUCGUUGCCUGAUGCCAGUUUCCUCGUGAUGGGUGACUGUGCAGGGCGAAUGAUGGCUUCCCGUGAGCAUUGUUGCCUCAUGGUUGGUUGAAAAUUGAGUCCUUGGUAGGGAGCGCCGUGAUAGAUGGUGGUUGAGUGACGAACGAGACCCAAUCAUGUGAGACCCCUACCGAAUUUGGCCUUCAUGACCCACAUGCGUCUUUGGAACGCUCCUGACGAGACCUCAGGUCAGGCGGGGCUACCCGCUGAGUUUAAGCAUAUCAAUAAGCGGAGGA